rnacentral:rRNA from 1 species
AUUGAACGCUGGCGGCAGGCCUAACACAUGCAAGUCGAGCGGAUGAAGGGAGCUUGCUCCUGGAUUCAGCGGCGGACGGGUGAGUAAUGCCUAGGAAUCUGCCUGGUAGUGGGGGAUAACGUCCGGAAACGGGCGCUAAUACCGCAUACGUCCUGAGGGAGAAAGUGGGGGAUCUUAGGACCUCACGCUAUCAGAUGAGCCUAGGUCGGAUUAGCUAGUUGGUGGGGUAAAGGCCUACCAAGGCGACGAUCCGUAACUGGUCUGAGAGGAUGAUCAGUCACACUGGAACUGAGACACGGUCCAGACUCCUACGGGAGGCAGCAGUGGGGAAUAUUGGACAAUGGGCGAAAGCCUGAUCCAGCCAUGCCGCGUGUGUGAAGAAGGUCUUCGGAUUGUAAAGCACUUUAAGUUGGGAGGAAGGGCAGUAAGUUAAUACCUUGCUGUCUUGACGUUACCAACAGAAUAAGCACCGGCUAACUUCGUG